rnacentral:rRNA from 1 species
AGCUUGCAUGCCUGCAGGUCGACGAUUGGUUACCUUGUUACGACUUAGUCCCAGUCACCAGGCUUACCGUCGGCCGCCGCCUCCCGAGGGUUAGCUAAGCGGACUUCGGGUACUCCCAGCUUCCAUGACUUGACGGGCGGUGUGUACAAGGCUCAGGAACAUAUUCACCGCGUCGUGGCUGAUACGCGAUUACUAGCGAUUCCAACUUCAUGGAGUCGAAUUGCAGAUUCCAAUCCGAACUGGGGCGACUUUUCUGCGAUUUGCUCCACCUCACGGUAUUGCGUCGCUCUGUAGUCGCCAUUGUAGCACGUGUGACACCCUGGGCAUAAAGGCCAUGAUGACUUGACGUCGUCCCCACCUUCCUCCGGCUUAACGCCGGCAGUCUCGCUAGAGUCCCCGGCAUGACCCGCUGGUAACUAACGAUAGGGGUUUCGCUCGUUUAGGGACUUAACCCGACACUUCACAGCACGAGCUGACGACAGCCGUGCAGCACCUGUGCUGGUUUCACUCAAAGAGCAGCAUAGCCCGCUUUCACGGGUGCAUCCCAGCAUGUCAAACCCAGGUAAGGUUCUUCGCGUUGCUUCGAAUUAAUCCACAUGCUCCACCGCUUGUGUGAGCCCCCGUCAAUUCCUUUGAGUUUUAGCCUUGCGGCCGUACUCCCCAGGCGGCGCACUUAAUGCUUUCGCUACGGCACCAACCCCGUCAGAGGCGCUGAUACCUAGUGCGCAUCGUUUACGGCGUGGACUACCAGGGUAUCUAAUCCUGUUUGCUACCCACGCUUUCGUGCCUCAGCGUCAGAACCAGCCCAGGACCCCGCUUUCGCCACCGGCGUUCCCUUGGAUAUCUACGCAUUUCACCGCUCCACCCAAAGUUCCAGGUCCCCCUGCUGGCCUCAAGAAUGACGGUUUGCCGAACAAUUCCUCGGUUGAGCCGAGGGCUUUCACACGACACCUGCCAUCCCGCCUACGCACGCUUUAAGCCCAGUAAUUCCGAACAACGCUUGCCUCCUCCGUAUUACCGCGGCUGCUGGCACGGAGUUAGCCGAGGCUUCCUUUGGGGUUGGUCACUUUCUUCCUAACCCCUGACAGUAGUUUACACACCGAAGUGCUUCAUCCUACACGCGGCGUCGCUCCGUCAGGCUUGCGCCCAUUGCGGAAUAUUCGUUGCUGCAGCCAUCCGUAGAUGUCCGGGCAGUGUCUCAGUCCCGAUGUGCCAGAUCGCGCCCUCACGCCUGGUACCUGUCGAUGCCUUGGUAGGCCGUUACCCCACCAACAAGCUGAUAGGAGAUAGGCCGCUCCCAGACCUGCGGACCUUUGAUCACCGGACCAUGCGGUCCAGUGAUGUCAUCAGGUAUUACCGGCACUUUCGCAAAGUCCCGACAAGUCGGGACGCCGCUAUUCCUGUGUCCAGGGUACGUUACCUAUCUAUUCCUCACCCGUUCGCCACUAAGUGUGCUUCCGUUACCUUCCACACACCUCGUUCGACUUGCAUGCCUUAGCCACGCCGCCAGCGUUCGUUCUGAGCCAGGAUCAAACUCUAAUCUCUAGAGGAUCCCCGGGUACCGAGCUCGA